rnacentral:lncRNA from 1 species
AUUAAUGCUUAAACUGUUCGGAGCAAGGGCUAUUCCGCUCACUCCAUUUGCAUCUCUAUUUCCAUAAACCUGUAAGUUCAACACAAAAUGUAGAAACAAUUUGCUAGAGUUCUAAGUAGAAUGGUGAAACUUUUUUACUUGGUAUAUGAAUAUGGAAGGAAAUAAUUGUUCUUGAAGCGCAGUGAAAGCUCUUAGUGAUGUACAUGGAUACCCUCUUAUACAAUUCCAUAUUUUCUUGACGAAUUAGGUUUACCUUCUUAUAUAGUUCCAUGUUUUCUUGAUGGAUGAGGUUUCCCUGCAAGGAAAAAAGUUAAUUUAGCUUCUUUAAAAGUUAUCCUUUUUAGAACAAAUUGAAAACAAAAGUCACUGCAUUUUAUGUUGAUUGACCUUUCGGUUUAGUUCUUGUAUCUCAUCAAUCAGAAUUUCAUCCUGUAGAAAUGAGAGGUUGAGUUAGUUCUUCUUUAGUUCAUAUAAGAUAGUGCACAUUUGAUGGAUCUGGAAGUUUCGUACCUUUCUCACACGGACACCACGGAGACUCAUUUCCAGUUGGUUCUCCAAGUUCUGUAAAUCUUUGACGCUCAGACCAGAAAGCUCUUCACCCAUCAUUUGUCUAUAGUGCAGAAAUAAACUGUUAACAAACACGCGACUUCAACAGAAAAGUUGAUACCUGACUGACUAUGAUUUAGAUAUACAUCCAUUUCUAACAACUGUUGCUUCUCGCUUCUUGGGGGGGGGGGGGGGUUGAUGUUAAACAGCUCGAGGGUUUGGGCUUUAGCAGAAAUCUAUAACACCAUUUGAGAUGGGCUUAUUAUUGGAUUUUCACUCCCGACAUUAAGUGGUUUCUGAGUUUAUCUAGUGUAAACACCUCUACAGAAACCUUCAGUAAAUUGCAUGAUUCACUGCAGUAUAUUUUGCAAAAUGUAGUAUGCUUUAGAAGUCCAUGCUAAUACUUCUAAUCAUGAGAGAUAAGAGAUACUGGGUGCUGCUUGAUACUUUAACGCCUUGAUGUGAGGGAUGAUAGUAAGACAUUGUAAGGAUUAUGCUCACGGUCUUGAAUGUCUCAUCAUUUUGAUUGGAAUACCAGUAACCUCAAAUAAUCUCUGAAUGUCCUUUCUGUUAGCACUUACAGAUAUAACCUUCUUAUGGAGGAUCUAGAGUGGAUAUCUCUGUUUCAUCUGCUAUUUUGAAAACUGAAAAUGCUACCAGCUAUCAAGUGGCACUUCCUAGCAAGGUGGCUGAUAGUUUAACCCUUAAUUUCUUGCAUAGCAAAAGCUUUUUUAGGGAAAUUGGUGGUUAACCUAGGGAUUGCCUAAAGCAAUAAAAAACAGAAAUGAGAAAAAGGAACGAGACAAGUUAACCUUUUUAACAAUAAAAAAACAAGUCGACUAUUUCAUUUCCGUAACUAUAAACUAAAUGACCUUAUCAAAAAAAAAAACUAUAAACUAAAUGAAAUGACAACAAACAUUUAGAAAAUGACAACAAACAUUUAGAAUUAGUCAACUAUUAACUAAUUCAAAUGAAAACUUGACUUCUGGGCUCCAAAAUGAUGAAGUAAGUUGAAAUGGAAAGGUCUUCAACAUAUAAUUUAGGAGGCAAAGUACUAAUAGAACUUUAGGAUUGAAAGAUAGAUAGAAAUGAGAGGAAAGAAGAGAGUACAACAACAACAACAUACCCAGUGUAGUCUCACAAGUGGGGUCUAGGGGGUUGUGUGUACGCAGACCUUACCCUUACUCUUAAGAAGACAAGAGGCUGUUUCUGGUAGACCGUCGGCUCAGGAAAGAUAAAGGGAAGGGGCAAUAACAAGAAAACCAAUCGGAAAGCCGAAGCAAAAAUACAAAACUAACACUAGGUAAUGCAAUCAGAAAACCGAAGUGAAGGCAACAACAAGUAAUAACAAAAGUCUAGGAAGACGAAAAUACACGAAAGACGCUAAGUGAUGUACUAGAGCUACUGUAACAAACAAGGACAUCGCUCGACUACCUAACCUUUUACCUUUAUUCUCAACCUCCACACCUUCCUAUCCAUGGUCAUGUCAUCAGUAAGCUGGAGCAAUGUCAUAUCUUGCCUAAUCACCUCUUCCCAUUACUUCUUUGGCCUGCCUCUACCUCUCCGUUGGCUCUCUAAGGCCAACCUCUCACACCUCCUCACCGGUGCAUCUGUGCCUCUCCUCUUCACAUGCCUGAACCAUCUAAGUCUUGCCUCCCGCAUCUUGUACUCCAUAGGGCGCAUCUUGUACUCCAUAGGGGCCACGCCCACCUUGUCCUGGAUAACUUCAUUUUUAAUUUUAUCUAACCUGGUAUGCCCGCACAUCCAUCUCGACAUUCUCAUUUUAGUCACCUUUAUCUUUUGGACAUGAGAGUUCUUGACUGGCCAACACUCCACCCCAUACAACAUAAUCGGUCUGACCACCGCUCUAUAGAACUUACCUUUAAGUCUUGGUGGCACAUUCUUAUCAUAUAAAACACCGGAAGCGAGCCUCCAUUUCAUCUAUCCCGCCCCAAUACAAUGUGUGACAUCCUUGUCGAUCUCCCCAUUCCCUUGUAUAACUGACCCAUGGUACUUGAAACUUUCUUUCCUAGGGAUGACUUGUGAAUCAAGCCUCACGCCUUGGCCCACUACCUGUGUCGCACCACUGAACUUACACUCCAAGUAUUCUGUUUUGGUCCUGCUCAACUCGAAACCUUUAGAUUCCAGGGUCUGCCUCCAAACCUCUAACCUCUUGUUUACAUCACCUCGCGUCUCGUCAAUCAGUACAAUAUCAUCUGCAAAUAACAUGCAUCACAUCACCUCCCUUUGAAUGUGGCGCGUCAGUGCGUCGAUCGCCAGGUUAAAUAGAAAUGGGCUGAGGGCUUACCCCUGGUGCAACCCCAUCACAACUGGGAAGUGUUUCGAGUCCCCUCCCAGUGUCCUCACACGAGUCUUAGCUCCAUCAUGCAUGUCCUUAAUAGCCCUAAUGUAUGCAACUGGAACCCCUCUAGUCUCCAAACAUCUCCACAGAACCUCCCUCGACACUUUAUCGUAAGGCUUCUCUAAGUCGAUGAACACUAUAUGUAAAUCAGAGGAAAGAAGAGUAGGUAAUUUAAUUUUUUUGUUUGCUCGGAAUGGGUUUUUAGGAAUAGGAAGGGAGGAGGGAAGAGGGAAUUAAGUUCGUUAACACAAUGUUCUGUCCAAAAGUGGGUGAAACCAAGAAAAACAAGACAUGCUGUAGUGAAACUUUUGUAGCAUUAAAAGAAAACUCAGGAUUAUUAACAAAAUAACUAUUAAGGGAAUUAGUGUCAAUUGAUACACAUUCCUUUUAUAUUUCCUUACUCCAUCACAGGAAAGUAACAAUCUGCUCUCCCUUUCUUUUUCUCUACAUCAUCUCCAUUCUUCUCUUUUCCCUUUUCUCAAUUCAAAAGAUCAGUGUUAAAUAGUUUAAGUAGAGUAAUGGAGGAAAUAAUUCAUUUAACCUAGUUACUUUGUUGAUGAAUUCAAUAAUAUACUGAUAUUAUGGGCAGAUUCCCAUAUGUAUCCAAAUCCCUGCAAAGAGCAUUCGGUCAUCAAUACUGAUUGAGACACCAUACAUUAUCUAAAAACAGUACGUCCCUUAUGUAAAUACUGCUUAUUUGCACAUGAAGCACAAAGUGACAGGGAUUGUCCAUUUUCCUCUCAAAUUCUUUGUUGUUAGGAUAGCUCCUUGUGUUACUAUCGGUUUAAAAGCACGCUUCCCAAAUGCUGUAGGGAUCCAUAUUGAAGAGUGAGGGAAGUUACCUUUUCUUUAGCAGUCCAUUAUAAAAUGAUUUCACUAUGAACAUAACAUCUUUCUGGCCUUUCCUGUUUCCAGCUACCUUUGUCCAUAAAUGAUAUUUUUGCUUGUACGGUAAUGUAAGCAAACUAUUAAGCUGUUUCAUCGUCCAAUCCUUCACUCAAAUGUAGUUUCUAUAGAAUUUCCUCAUUCUUUAUAAUUGGGACGAGUGUUAAUCUCUGCUGGCUGAAAGUAUUGAAUAUGAUCAGAAAACUUAACAUAAAAGAAUAUGACUACAUUGUCUCUAUUUCCAGAAAUUGAUUCUGGUUUCAUUACCUCCCUUCUAAUUUGACACAUCCAUAGAAUCUCUCCACAUUUUCACCAUAUCCUCCAUAGAGUUACUCCAUAUAGCAUGGAUAAUCUGAUUGGUCCUAAUUAUCCCACUUGAUCUACAUACUUUUUAACUAUGAUCGCUCUCCACAAUGGUUGAUUUCCAUGCGAAACCCCCAAGUCAACUUCCCUAGUUGAGUUCUAUGAACAUUCCAUCUCCCUAUCGUGUCCCAUAAUAGAUUCGUUUACACUUUUUAACCUUUUGCCAUGAUUCCUGGUACAUAGUAAGUUGACAGAUUCGAAAAAUUACUCUUUGAUAAUGGUCUCUCUCUCCCUUUUAAGUAAGUAUUACUUCUACCGUCCUUUAGUUUCUUUUUGGUUCUCAACAUUCUCUUUCAUAUUGCAGUCUUUGUAAAUCGUACUGGUAUAGUCAAUAUGGAUACAUAGUAAGUUGGCAGAUUAAGCAAAUUUCUCUUGAUCGCUGUGUCUAUCUCACUUUUUCAAGAAGUAUUUCUUCUACCAGCCUGUUAGUCUCUUUUUGACUCUCUCGACCAUCAGUUUUUUUUCUUUGACAAUCCUUGAAAGUCGCACCCAGCGGUAGUAUUGAUAAGUCAUCUUAUGAUGGGACCCAUACUGCAACUAUGGAUCUCCACCAGCUAUUUAAUGCUCUUCGCUUCAUCAAUCUUAGAGUUCCCUGAGACCACAAUAGUAGAGCUGAUUUGCCUCGGUAAUAACACAAAAUGUCAUCUGCAUAUAGUAAGAUAUAGUAGAUAAUACACUUGUAAACUAUCUUUCCUUCCCUACAAGCUGUGAAGCCCCAUAAAUAACCCCUGUCCUUAUUCUCCAUCUUCUUGUUGAAUAUUUCAAUGAUCAGUAUGAACAAUGUCAGGUGUAGGGUUUUUAAAGUCUUGCUUAAGGCGCAGUUAAGUCUUGAAGCUCAGUGAAAUCCAAUUUGUGGGAUUCACCUCCCAUGGUUGGCACUUUAGUGUAGGUACUAUAAUAUGUGCUUCUUCACCUAUGAGCUCCAUCUUUAAGAGCAUUGCACUAGACAAUAAAUAGAGUUGACAAAGUUAUAUUAAUUGUUAAGAAAGCCUUAUGAAUGAACUUUUAGCGAUUAGCAAUAAGAAAUUAGAAGCUGCACCAAGGGUGUGGCCUAGUGGUCAAUGAAGUGGGUUGAACACCAUGAGUUCUCUGGUUCAAUUCCCAACAGAGACAAAACAUUAGGUGAUUUCUUCCCAUCUGUUCUAGCCUUGGUGGACAGAGUUACCUGGUAUCUGUUGCUGGUGGGAGGUGGCAGGUAUCCCGUGGAAUUAGUCGAGGUGCACGCAAGCUGGCCCGGACACCACGAUUAUAAAAAAAAAGCAAUAAGAAAUUAGAAGUUCAAUAUAAGAAAAUUAGCCAUUAAAAACAUAAAACUAUGUUUUUCAUUUAAAUAAGAAGUUUAAAAUGGUUUCUGAGCUUACUUAACAUGACUUUUACUUCAUAUAUACAACCUAAUUCCAUUCUUUCGUACAAAGAACUAAUUUUUUUUUUUGUAGUUACAUUUACUUGCUUUACAUUUUUUUAUUAGCGCUUUUGUACGUUAAAACCCAUACUUCGAUUGCACUUUAAUCUUAAAGCCCAACGAACUUUAGCACUUUUUGCUUUUGACUACUUUGGUAAGGUGAUCACCUUGUCAUAGACCUCUUGAGCUUCCAAAGAAACCUUUGGGAUUCCGUUUACUAGACUGAGAACUUGAUAGUGGGCAUCAGAAAGUGGAUCAUUGUUUUCAUCUCUCCCAUCCCUUAUUCUCCAUAACGAGGUCCAGAAGUCAUGCUUUUUAUGGAUUACUUUACACAGUACUCGUGUCUCUCUACUCUUCCGUUCUAGCUCAGUCACUAUAUAAGCUCCUUGUAUAACUUAAAUAGCAGACAAAAUAGAUUUAAGGGCCCAAAUAAUAAAACAAUUCUAACAACGAAAAUUUCCACUUGUGAAACAAUUUGACUCCUAUGAUGUAGGAACUCAAUGAAAAUUACUGGGGUACUUUCUUCUGAAAUAAUUUUGCUCAAACAUCUCAAAAGCUAUCGUGGACUAACAUGAGCUCAAUUUAAGAAAAUACCUGAAUUGCUUAAUACACAAAAAUAUCCUUAUUUUUAUUCUAUAGGUCAUUGAACAAGUUAUUAGCAGAGAGAAGAAAUAUAUGUGAUAAAGAACAAGAAAGUUUACCGAUGAUUCUCUUGCAAGUUUUGUAGUUGUUGCCUCAGCACUGCCGCUUCCCUUUGCCAAAACUGCUAAGAAGAAAAAAUAUUUCUUACAUUUUGGAUUAUCAAGAACAAGAACAACAUGCCCAGUGUGAUCCCACAUGUGGGUUUUGGAGAAUGUAUGGUGUACGCAGACCUUACCCCUACCUUGUGUGAGGUAGAGAGGUUGUUUUCAAUACACCCUUGGCUCAAGAAAAGAAUUUUCAAAAUAGGUUUAAAAAAUACAAGAGUAAAAAAGUUAUGAUGAAAAUACUGAAACAAAGAAAAUUAUUGCCAGCAAAAUAGUAAAGAUAAUCGAAAUAAAAGAAACACCAGUUGUAUAAAAUUGAGGAAUAAAAUAAUAAUACUAGGAUAAUAAUACUAAUACUGAUAAAGAGAAGAGGGUGCUCUAAACUAGAACCACUGCUCUCCCGCAAAAAAAGAGAGAAAUCGCUUGACUACCUGCUAAUCUUCUACUCUAAUCCGCGGCCUCCAAGCUCUCCUAUCUAGGGUUAUGUCUUCGGUGGGCUGAAGAUGUGUCAUGUCCUGUCUAAUCAUCUCUCCCCAGUUCUUCCUCGGUCUACCUCUACCUCUCCUAAGACCUAUCAUUGCCAACCUUUCGCACCUCCGCAUUAGGGCAUCUGUGUUCCUCCUAUUCACAUGCCCGAACCAUCUCAACCUCGCUUUAAGGAUCUUGUCCAUCAUGAGGGCCACUCUUACCUUGUCCCACAUAUCUUCUUUCCUAAUCUUAUCUUAUGCUCACACAUCCUUCUAAGCAUCUUCAUUUCCGCUUCUUGCAUUUUCUGAACGUGUGAGUUCUUGACUAGUCAACACUCUGCUCCGCAUUUUGGAUUAUCAUAGGAGACAUUAAUGGAUAUCGCUGCAUGCUUUGAAAACUAGGUGCAAUAUCAAUAGUAAACAAAGCUUAGAUGUAAUGGGUUCUAUUUAGAUUAAUGUAUAGCCGUUCCCUUCCUUGCGGUCCAAGAAAUAGAUCCAUGUAUAACCUCAAGAUUGUGUAUUUUAAUUUAUUAGCCCUUUUAAAUUAGGGGGAAAAACAAAAUGAGCUAGGGUUACUUUCUUGAGGUUGCAUCCUGUCAAUGAUGAAAAAAGAAGGAAAAAUGAAAUACACUAGCUUAUGGUUCCGCUCCCCUCUAUUUCACUAGCUAACAUAAAUAAAAAUAUCAUUUCCUUUGUGUUAUCCCAAGGAUUGGAUCUGGUUAAGAAUCGCUGUAUACUCCUUAUGAAUGUCACUUCUCUUUUAUAAGAUUAAAAGGGAAAAGGAAGAACUUGAAUUCUUUUGAUUUUAGUUUUAAAUGUGGAGACACUUCUUGUGGUUAAUUUUUUUUCAAGAAGUAAAAAUUUUCAAAAAGAAGAAUCUGGUAUAAAUUAGACAAAUUCAAAAUAAUAGAUGCAUCAAAUAUGAUUAGAGGACGCAGCAUAUGAAACCUUACUGAUCUACUUUGGCUUAGAGACAACUUUAUCUUAAAAAAGACUUUGUAGACAUGCUGUCAAUUCUUGUUUCUUGAUUGCCUCAUUGAUAGGUUUCUCCUCUUUCUCUUACAUUGAUGAAAUGGUAGUGUCGUUUUUAAUAACUAAAACUUGAACUUUUUUCUUUUAAGCUAGUUCAGAUUAGGAUUUUGGAAGUUCUCUGGUUCAGGCGCAAAGUUCGACAUUUGGGAAUUGAAGGGGAUUCGAGUCUCAAACAUUAGUAGAUAACAUUAGAGAGUCAAAAAUACACUGACAAAGAGAACAUUGUUGCUGUGUCUGUGAAUCAGCUGCUUUCCAGAGUGACUCUUUGACCGUUUUCUUCUGUAUCUCCUCACAUUGAUGAAAAUGGGUGUAGAAGAGGAUUUCUACUUUUGGUACAAAGGUCGACAUGUAGGAAUAGAAGAGGAUUUGAGUCUUAACAUGACUAGGACACAUCAAGAUGUUGACCAUGCAACCAAGCCAGGUUGAAUUCAAUUUUUGUCAUUUUCGUGGAAGACAUAUUGUAGAUUUAGCUACAAGACUUCUUCUGCAUAGCACUAACAAUUUGAUGCAUCUCUUAGCAUGGACCCUAUUAUUGACUGGUUGCCCUGAUUAAUACAAUGCCUUGAUAUGGAUUUGCUGUAGAGUGGCUUGAGUGAUGUUAAUUAACAGCUCCUAUAUUUUGUGGUAAAUUACUCCUACAAACUUGUGAAGAAUUCUUCAAACCAAUGGGUUUGAAUGACAUUUCAUAGGGGAUUCAAAGUUUUGAAGUGAAAGAGAUAGCCACAAGGCAUCUUUUUUAUAUUUGUUGCUUCCUACCUUCAAAAGUUUUGCUCCACAAUAUGCCAUCAGCGAUAGAAAUGUAAGUUAUAGUUGUUUUGGUAGCCUUGAAGUUGAUGGCCAUUCUGGUGUGUGGUACUGCAUGGAGGAUGCAAAUUCAACGUUCUGCUUCGUAAAUGAGUUCUUACAGUUGCCGCAUAGUUACUCUAUGCUAUACUAUCAUAUGUUAUUCAAACCUCGGUCCUAAUUGUGCUAUAAUUUGUUUGUAACUUCCUUCUAUGCUUUGCACCAUAUGUGGGAUUUUUACAAUUGGAUCUAGCUUAAUUGACUGAGAAUAAUCCUACUGAAUAGAUGAAAUAGGACUCCACCAUCUAAUAGGUCCACAAGACUGAAUUUCCCCUCUUUGUAUACAGUUUUUAGUUCAUAGGAAGAGUUUGUUUCUUCAUUUACCAUCUCCUCUUGUACCUUUUAUUAUCAAAGUGAAAUAUGUGAAAGAAGAAUAAAAGAUUUGAUGCCUAAUGUUAUUGAUGGCUUUUUGGUAUAGGUUACAACAACAACAAUUACCCUGUAAAACAACAAUUGAUGGUGUACCUUACCCCUACCCAGGGGAGUAGAGAGGCUGUUUCUGAUAUACCCUCACCAGAAAAUAGAUGAAAAGCAAAAACAAUAAUCAGUAAAUAAGGCCCGGAAUUAUGAAAAACGGAAGAAUAGUGUGAACACAACAUUAACCGCUAGCCGUCUAAGACAAAACUCUAUCAGACUAGCCUCACACCUGUUACGGAGUAGAAAAAUGCUUGACUACCCCCUAACCUACAAUCCUAAUGCUCGACAUCAAGGGCCAUGUCCUCGAAAAUCUGAAGCUACGCCAUAUCCUGCCUGAUCACCUCUCCCUAAUACUUCUUAGACUGCCCUCUACCUCUUCUCGUACUCGUCAAAGCCAACUGCUCACUCCUUACCGUGGCAUCUAGGCUUCUCCUCCGCACGUGCCCGAACCAUCUGAGCCUCGCUUCCCGCAUCUUGUCAUCCAUAGGAGCCACACCCACCUUCUCCCGAAUAUCUUCAUUCCUAAUUUUAUCGAUCCUAGUGGACCCGCAUAUCCACCUCAACAUCCUCAUUUCUGCUAUUUUCAUCUGCUGGAUAUGUGAGUUCUUAACUGGCCAACACUCUGCCCCAUACAACAUGGGCGGUCUAACCACCGCUCUAUAAAACUUGCCUUUGAGUAUCGGUGGCACUUUCUUGUCACGCAGGACUUUAGAAGCUAACCUCCAUUUCAUCCAUCCAACCAAUAUACGGUGUGUGACAUCCUCGUCGAUCUCCCCAUCCCGCUAGAUAACCGACCCAAGAUACUUGAAACUGCCUCUUUUAGGAAUGACCUGCGAUUCAAGCCUCACGUCCAUGCCCGAUUCCCUCAACUCGGCGCUGAACUUGCACUUCAGGUAUUUUGUCUUAGUCCUGCUCAACUUGAAACCCUUAGACUCUAGGGCCUGUCUCCAAACCUCCAGCCUCUCGUUAACGCCUCACGUCUCAUCAAUUAGAACUAUGUCGUCAGCAAAUAACAUACACCAUGACACCUCCCCUUGAAUAUGAUGUGUCAGUGCGUUCAUCACCAGGGCAAAUAAGAACAGGCUAAGCGCAGAUCCUUGAUGUAACCCGAUAACAACCGAAAAAUGCUUUGAGUCAUCUCCCACUGUCCUAACCAGAGUCUUAGCUCCAUCAUACAUGUCUUUAAUCGCCCUAAUGUAAGCAACCGGCACACCUUUUGCCUCCAGGCAUCUCUAAUGAACCUCCCUACGGACCUUGUCAUACACUUUCUUCAGGUCAAUAAACAUCAUGUGUAGAUCCUUCUUCCUAUCCCUGAACUGUUCCACUAACCUCUUAUAUCUUCCGUAGUUGAACGACCCGGCAUGAACCCAAACUGGUUGUCAGAUAUAGACACCGUCCUCAUCACCCUNNNNNNCNNNNNNNNNNNNNUCCUUUGUUCUUGUACAACGGUACCAUCGUACUCCACCUCCACUCAUCCGGCAUCCUUUUCGUCCUGAAAAUAACAUUAAACAGUCCAGUCAGCCACUCCAAGCCUGCUCUACCCACACACCUCCAAAAUUCUACCUGAAUUUUGUUUGGCCCGGUUGCUCUUCCCCUACUCAUCUUACGUAUAGCCCCCACAACCUCCUCAACCUUAAUGCGCCUAUAGUACCUAAAGUCUCGGUGACUCUCAAAAUGCCCCAAUUCACCUAGCACAAUAUCCCGGUCCCCCUCUUCAUUCAGAAGUUUAUGAAAGUAAGUCUGUCAUCUCCGCUUAAUCUGAGCCUCUCCCAUCAAUACUCUACCGUCAUCGUCUUUGAUGUACCUCACUUGGUCCAGAUCUUGAGCCUUCCUCUCUCUCCCCUUGCCCAGCCGGAAUAACUUCUUAUCCCCACCUUUGUCUCCCAAUUCCUCGUAUAGACGCCCAAACGCUAUAGUCUUAGCCUCUGUGACCACCAAUUUCUCCUCCUUCCUAGCUACCUUAUACCUCUCCAUGUUCGCUUCUCUCUCCUCCUCUCCUGUGCUCCCUACUAACUUCAGGUACGCCGCCUUCUUCGCUUCCACUUUACCUUGGAUCACUCCAUUCCACCACUAGUCGCAUUUGUGCCCGCCAGAGUAACCCUUCGAGACCCAUAACACCUCUCUUGCCACCUCCCUUGUACAGUUCGCCGUCAUCGUCGACAUAGCGCUCGCGUCCCACUACUCCUCUAGGCUCGCAUAGACGAUAACCUCUCUUCCAACUCCUGAGGUUUAUCCUUAGUCAAGGCUCCCCACCUGAUCAUCGUUUAUUGCUAGUAUUGGUUAUGUUGAGGCCGACCUAGACCAACACAAAGUAAUGGUACUCAUUCUUCGUCUAUGCAUAUGUACGUUGAAGAUUUAAUCUAAUCUUAAAUAUUAAAAACUUGUUAUUUUAUUUUUCCAGCUACAUUUUUAUUAGAAAACUUACAAAAGUAAGACUCUUGAUUUUGUGUUCUAGUAUCAUUUCAUUCUGACGCUCUUGAGAUACCUCAUGGAGUUUAUUCUCCUCCUUGCUUCUGAAGAUGAGUUGAACACAAGCCUAUAACAUGAUCUAGGUUUUCAUGGUUUUGGACUUCAGCUUUGGAACUUCUAUUUAUUUUCAUAAUUGAGAUUUGGUAGACUUAUGGUAAGUGAGAGGAGUUGAAAGCAGUGGCGGAUCCAGAAUUUUCAUCAAGGGGUGUCAUAAUAUAAAUAAUUAGAUAUAUCGAAAAGUGAAGGAGAGUCAACGUAUAGUAAAUAUACAUAAAAUAAAAAAAGUUAUCUAGCAAAAUAGUGUAAUUUUCCGGCGAAUGGGUGUCGCUUGACAUCCCUUGCUUCAAUGUGGCUCCGCCACUGGUUGAAAGUUAUUUAAAAUGCUAAGAGGACCGUGUUAAGGUGGCAUUUGACUUAUUAGGGGGAGGAAAAUUGGAAAACUAUUCUGCAUGUCUUUAGUAUUUUGGCUUGAACAUGAUGUAAUACUGUUGGAUUUAUUAUCUCCUGUAUUUCAAUGUUGUAUUUCUGGGGAUUCUGCUGAACUUAUCCCAUGCUAUUAUUCAUAGAGUUAAGACUGUAAUUUAUCUGCAAUAGAGUUAAAGCACAGGGAUAGACAAGUAUGUGAUCAACACUUUGUUGAUAUCUAUGUAGAAUUUACAUUCUUCAUUUUAUACCAGAAAGAGAUAUUUUACAUGCUUCAAAUUAUCUUUGUCUUGUUUCCCAACUUGCAAUGAAGCUAAUGGUAGACGACCGCUCCUAUAUGUUGAUGGUGGGAUUAUGUGGAGAGAGGCUACAUCUCAUCCCACCCAUGUUAUAAUAGUUGGUAGUGCUUGAUAACGUGAAGUUUAGCAUUAGCACUUUUGACAAAAGGUAAGCAAAAGGUUAUGUGAUAAGUGAAGAGCUUAUCUACAUACGGAAAGAAAUCAUCUAGAGUAGGAUUGAACAGAGAUAUUGGGUCUCUUUGAGGUGGCAAAACUGAACCAUGGAUACCAUUGCCCCACUCUAUGGUAACCGAGGCUUCUAGUUGAGGUUUCAUGACAUUUAGGCAACUAUUAGUGGCUUUUGUUAAGAAUAAUACAUAAGUUAGUGUCGUUUAGAUGCAUGUUGGGGAGGAAGGAUAUCUGUCAGAUUAUUAUUUAGGCUCUUUAGUUGUUGGUCAUAUUCAGUUUGCUUCAUUUUUGUAGAGUGAUAGUAUGGCAUGUGAUGAAAAUUGGUUUGUAGAAUGGAUUCCUUCUGGUCAGAGGUAACUAUAUAGAGUCUAACCACAUCUAAGGCGGAAGGUUUAUCUGGUUAUAGUUCUUCAAUGUUUUAGCCAUAUCCUUGGUUCUUAUGUUGCUGUAUUUGCAUAAUAUGUAUUGCUUAGGUUUAGGGGUGGCAAAUAGGUGGGUCGGAUCGGAUAUGAGCAGGUCGAAAAUGGGAAUGCAAAAAUGGAUAAAUUAUCCGACCUAACCCAUAUUUAAUACGGAUAGAAAAUGGGUUAACCGNNNNNNNNNNNNNNNNNNUAAACUCAUUAGUUAUCUAUUGGUUAUACAUUAGUUAUUCAUUUUCUAAGUGGAUAAUAUGAUUUUUAUCCAUAUUUGACCCGUUUUUAAAAAAUUCAUUAUCCAAUCCAUUUUUUUAGUGAAUAAUAUGGAUGGAUAACUGUUUUUUAAUCCAUUACCGCUACUUAGGUUCAUGACAUAUGGGCAACAUUUUUUUCUUGUGCAGUAAGAAAUUAGCCGUGCCCCAGAUGGAGAUUAUAACACAGCUCUAGAUGAGAUCUUCUGUUCUUGGAUUUUGUGUACCGUAGGAAGUGUGUGCUAUGAGCAUGAGUGCAAUGUCAUGAUGGCAGUAUUAACCCCUCAGCAGAAUGCUUAAUUAUGCCUUAAAUUAUGUUGACCUAUGCAGUCUUAUUAUUAAAAGGAGUCAAGUUCUGCUUCCGUGAUCAAUCUUACGAGAAAUUACCUUCCAAUACCAUAUCCAAAGUUCCUUGCUGCACCUGAACUGAUAUGGCUCUCUGUCAGAUGAAAAUCCCCUGAAUGGUAGACUAAUCUACACUGCUUCAGUUUCACAGUAGUAUCAGGGUGUGUGAUUUCUGAACACAGGAAGGCCCAAUGUUUCUCCUGUUUCACUUCCCAUCACAUUUCGUUUACCUAUAUGCCUGAACUGCAUAAUUCCUGUAAUACUGAUAUGUGAAGAACGAACUAUUUUUUAAUGGGAAUUUUUAUUCCUUUGCAGCAUCUUGAAGACAUGAAGCAUAGCGUCUGACUUCUGUUUUUCCCUUCUGCAAUUGCAAAGAAGGAUUAGAGAUUGAUCUCCAAAUACUGAACAGAUGACAUGACAAAGACAUGUUAUAGAGUUGGAUACCUUGAGUGAAGCAGUGGUACCUAGAACCUAGUGCUAUCCAUGAAUGUCAUUAUCUGCUUAAUAACGACAAGAGGGACUGAGUAGAAGUAAGAAGAUAAGGUUCAGAUUAACACCAACUGUGUCAUCUUGGUAGAAAGUUUAGGACCGGUAUCCACUUCUCUUUUUUCAAAAAAGGUUUGACUCGUAUACUCAGUAGUACCACAUUCAAGUCAGACAAGUUAGGAGAUGAGUGUGCCCUAGCUGACCAUUAUCAAGAAAUGGACUUCACGGUAAGGAAAUCAUUACUCCCUCUACCACGAAUUGAAUUUCCUUGUUGAGUUGGCAUGACUCAGAUGAUGAAAAUUCUGAAGAUUUUGUUUGAGAUUUUGUGGAAACUGGUUAGAAGGGGGCCUGGGGCCUGGGGGGAUAAGCAAUCUUUGAAGUCUGUCAUACUAGAAGUUUUCCCACAAUAAAAGAACCUUUACACUGUAAAAGUAAUUUCAAAGAUGGCCAAACUUUCCUGUACAACAGAAUUUGACAGAUUGCUAAAUCCUUGAAGUCGAUUUAUUAAUGGUCAUCAUCAGUGAAAAGGUAGCAUGUUGCUUUUAUUCUAAUCAUGUGGCCUGUCAGUACCCUCAAGAACAUGAAAACCCUAAUUAUUGUUGUUUUAAUCUAGCAGGAAUCAGCCUGUGUCCAUGUAGAAUAUUUUUUCACAUUAAUAUGAAGACUGUAGUGGUUAGGUGGAAUCUGUUUAGCUGAAGAUGUUCUUGUUGAUAUGAUGCAAAUCGAAAUAAUUGUGAACUAUAAGACAGUUCUAUCCCUAGCUAUGCUUUGAUUGCUAGACAAAUGGGAGUCAUAGUCCCUGAUCUAUUCUUUUAUGUGACCCCUCUCCAGUUAAAUCCUGAAUAGCUGAAGUUGCAGUACGUUCAUACAAUAGGUAGCUUUUCAUGCUGCAUCAUAAUAAUGGAAUACUUAGUUCCUGUUCUCUGUCAAUGUGUUGGAUUGCCCCUGGCUGAUCGUGUCUUUUAUAAAACACAUUGGAGAAAUCUGCUCUAGUCUUGUAAAAUAUCUUCCUUCCGUUUAAACUAUCUGUCUUCAAACUUUAGCCUUCAGUCCAGCAUCUUCAACGGUACAGCUGACUGUAACUAUGAGAAUCUGCAUGCUUCUUUCUUGCAGCAUUUUGUUUGUUUUUUGCUUUUGCCCCUUUAUCCUGCUCUCCAUCUCCUAAUUCUAAUUAAUUUGCUAAAACUUGCGGAUAGGUGCUAAUAUCUUUUAAAUCCUUUUCACAAAGAGGUGUAAACAACAAUGCCCCUCAGGGUUUUGUUCUAGUGGUAAGAGCACAAUCGAUGAUGUGUGGAUUAGGCACAGGCCACAGGUUCGAAUCUUGCCUCAGACAAAGCCAGAUAUUUAAGUGGAGAUGGGUAGAGCGGCGGGCCCAUCAUUCACCCAGUUUCGAACCCUUUGGCCACUGGGAUCUCUCGGUAGUCAGGAAAAAGUGUUAACGACAAUACACCACAAUUUAUGCAUGUUGUGAAAAGAGGAAAGAGGAGAGAAACUCUUACUGAACUUCUCUUGUUAGAAAAGCUCUCGUGUCUUACUGAACUUUUUUGGGUUAACAUAUAUGAGGGCUCUUUUUUAAUGGACUGAAGAAUCCUAAUUAUUGGGGUUUUCAAUUAUGACAUAAUAGUUUAUAGUUCUCUGGUCAAUGGCAGAACAUUAGGAGUAAUUCUCACUAAGAUCAUUUUGACACACUUUUAGACUUAUAGACUCCUUGUAUCUUGGAUAGGAGUUGAGCAAAAACUUUAGUACAGGUUCAACUCCUGAUUGUUGACGGAACAGUGUUCAUCACCGAAAGGUCGUAUUCUUUCUCACAGACUGUUAUCGACACAGCCAAAGAAAUGUGCCUUGCAGCACAUGGGAAAAAUCGUCUUAAUUUAGCGGAAAGAGAUUUUGGUGACACAAAUCUCUAUUAAAUCAUGUAAGCUUGAAUUAAAAUUGAAGGGUAACAAGAAAUUAUUGGGGUAAUUGCUGGCAAAGCCAGAGAAAAGUGACCGGAAGAGACGAUGCCGUCAGGAUGGUUGCCUGAAAGAGAUCAGCGUGGUGCCUCAAAUGUUCUCUGGAAAGAAGUGUGGAGCCUGAAAAGGCACAAUGCUGCCUAAAUGAUGGCUGGAAACAAGAAUAGUGCUGCCUAGAAGGGUUAUCAGAAAGAGGCAAGAGUAGUACUUAGAUUUCCACAAAUAUCGUAGAAGCUUAAUACGCCUAAUACUACAUGGAAGGAGAGAGACGAAGAGAAACUCUUGUUGGAACUGGUUGAUAACAUCAAGAGUGCUCCUUGUAGAAAAGUUUUGAACUAUAUAUGAGAUAAGGAAGUUUCAUGUUCCUAAGGUUUCCUAUUUAUUACAUGAUAUAUAAUCACUAAGGAUAUUUUCCAUAUUAUUCUUAUUGAUCUUGUAACUUUCAUUGGUAAUAUAAUCAUUACCAAAUUCUCUGCUAUUUAAUUAUUCUGUUAACUUUGAACAUCUUUUUUUUUCUUAUUAUAGUGGUGUCCGGGUCAAUUUGCUCGCACCUUGAGUAUCCCACCGAAAAGCCUGCGGUACACAUGGCGCGAAAUCAGCUCACCAUGGUAGAGCAGAUAGGCUUAUACCGAGUGUUAUAGCUUAGCUUUGAACCUGAGAUCUCAGGUUGUUACUCAUGUGUCUCAACUGCUCAACCAUUUCCUUUUUCAACGACAUGAAAUGGCUAUGAUAGAAACCUUAGUAUGCAUAUUUUUCUUUGACUAGUUGACUGCAAAUUAACCAGUGAAACUUACCCUAACCUCAGAAGUUGGAGUUGCCAGUUGGUGAUUCUCCUCCUUUGUUUUGUUGUAUCUUUCAAUCACCGACUUCAUGCUGUCAAAGUAAAUAUAUUCAGAAUUGUCUACGUUGUACUGAUUGAGCAAAAAUUUUGGAUGUAUCACAAAGUUGUUCUGUUUGUUUCUAGUCUAGCCUCUACAUACAUAAUAGUUAAAUUGUGUGGACUUCCCUUGUCAAAAAAAAUUGUGUCGUCUCCAUACUAGGUCAUUGUAAUUAAAUACUUUUUUAUCUAAUAAGAAAGGACUCGAAUAAAACAGGGCAGAAAACAUCUUUUGCAGCCUCUUAUUAACACGAUGGCUGCAGUUCUGGUAUUUUAUUUUCUCUCUUUGGUUUUCAGUUGAAUGGAGUCGAGAGUGAUGGCACGCAAAACCUUUACAAAGUGAAUGGUACUGUCUUGAAGGUAGGUCUCUGAAGUUUGUUUGGCUCCUUUUACUCUAAUUUCAUGUACCAAUCAUCAAGGUAUGGAUUAACUCGUUAGUUGUGGGUGUUCCCUUCAUGCUUAGUAUUAGAAGCCAAACAAGGGGGGGGGGGGGGGGGGAAGGAAUAUCGAACACGAUCUAAUGAGCGUAAGAAAGCUUGUUAUCUUGAACACCAAGUUAUUUCUGUAGGCAUUCUCUGUGCUGCUUCUAAAUUCUAUACUAGUUAUUGAAUGUUGAUUGAGUGAUAAGGAAUUGUCUAAACAUACAACCUGAAUUCAGAUAAAGAAUAUAACAUGGGGAUAUUUCAGAAUGAUAACCCAAAUGCAUGAGGAAGAGAAUUUCCUAAAACAUAACUAGCAUAAUGUAAAUGCAUGCAAGAGAUGCAUAAUGAUAACUGCAACUGUAGUUAAGGAACUAUCUGUAGGUUUUUGGGUGAAAUAAGGUAAGUUUUAGGAUCCCGGAUAUGAUAAAAAGAAAAGAGGUUCAGUCUCUCGGGUCAAACUUUCCUUGCCUUUCUCUUCUGUUUAACAUAUCUUUAUUUCUGUUUCUGACUCCUUUUCUGUUUGUCUGUCUGUCUGAUGGAGUAUUUCUGAAUCAUUCAUGACAUUGAAAGCAAUUGUUUAGUGGUAGAAUGGUAGUAAUAGAUAAAAUAAUUCUAACAACAACAACACAUCGGCAGUAGUAAUUUCUCAGCCAGUAUGGUAGUGGGGUGUUAUGGUAUACUUCAUGAGUAGUUUUAGUGACUCAAUGAGAAAUGCUUAAUGAAAUCAUGAUAAAGAUAUGUUUAGGCUAGAAUAGAAAUGCUGGCAAUCAGAAGAUAGCACGAAAUGAUUGGAACAACAAAUUUAUUGGGCCAUUUGCAAUCAGAAGAUAACACGGCUUCUGAAGUCUGAUUCGCACUAUAACAUGCAAUGCAUCCCCUUCCUCUCUAUGUAUGUCAUAGGGUCUUUCAUUUGAUUUUGUCAGUAACAUGCUUGAUGUUAUCAAAACCAGAAGCGCAGCGAAAAAGGAACACAUUCAUGCAUGAGACAAAGAAUUGCUUGAUGUUCCAGAAUAAUAGUAAGAACAAGAUACUAGAAUAGAUGUCAUUUGAGAAAGGAGUGAUGUGAAAAACUUAAGCAUAUAUAUCUCAUUCUGGAGUCCUAACGGAAAAAGCGAUCGUCAUCUAGAGUUCUUCAUUCAUGUAACUGCUGGUGUAACUAGUUCUAUUAGCAGAAAGCAGCACCAGAAAAUAGUAUCAUUUGUUGAGAUACCAGACUUCGUAAUACAUGCCUUUGUCACCCUUGUAGCAGAGUUCUAACAUCGUCUGUAUUUCUGCUGGUUUCCACUUUUCAAUGUUCCUCCUAUAUUUUCUUGUGCAAUAUAUUCAGACCCGUCUCCCACUGUUACAUUAUAUGAUUAAAUGAGGAAUCUACCAUGAUUAUAAGUUGAGCUAUAUGGUGUGACUGCUAUUCAGAUAGUGUUCCAGUCAAGUUCUCAUAAUAAUUUUGUGGUUAAAGAUGUUUUUUUUUGGUAAUUAAACAUUUAUUAAUCACCAAGGAAGAUCCGUACAAAGCCAUAGUUAGUUAAACUCGACUAUCUAAAAACAAGAAACUAUCAAUUCCUCUAUCUACCAUCCUAGGAAAUUUAAAACGAACAAGAUUGAAAAUAACUCCUAGUUCUAACAGGGGAUCUAGCACAACAUGUAUAAGCUAUCUCUUUUGCAAUGGUGACCCAAUCUUUUUACUCUUCUGUUCAAAGAUCCUUUGGUUCCUUUCUAUCCAUAUUUCUAUAUAUAGCAACUUGAAAAUCUGGGCAGUUGGUGAUUUUCCUUGGCAUUCUCAAUAGUCCACUGUUGAUAUUGCAUCCAUGCAGUUGGAAAAGUUGUAUUCUUCUUCCCCCAUAGCAGUACCUUGUCCCAUAUCUUCCUUGAGAGUCUACAUUGGACAAAGAGAUGUUCAUUUGUCUCAUUGUGUUCUUGGCAUUGGCUACACUUUAGUUCCACAUUGAGUCCCCAUUUUACUAGCCUAUCCGCAGUGAGUAAUCUUUCAUGCAAGUGAAGCCACAUGGUAAAAUGUGCUCUAGGUCUAGCAUCCCUUCUCCACGCUCUAGGUCUAGCAUCAUUGGAGAACAUUAGGCAUUUCCAUGGUAUUCUUGGUAGGUCUCCUAGGUAGUGUUGUCAAAAGCGCACUUAAGCCCUGGAGCGAGGCUCAAAAUAUGUUGAACGCUUCGCCUCGCUUUGUGAGCGCUUUAGUGUUGCAUCAAGGCUCUAUGGCAUACUUUCUCUUGCCAAUUAAUGUAAUCCUGAAAAGGCGAUAUUGAACAAUUGAUAUUUCGCUUUAUCGUAAUUCAAUUUCUUUGUCCAUAUUUUUGUUAUUCAUGUUUGUAAUUAUUAGUCUUAGACUACAUAUACAUAUUUUUACUUUUUCUCCAGUUGCGCCUUUUUUCAUUAAAAACCAUGCUUUAUUUGCGCUUUGCGUUUAAAGCACCAAUGGAUCUUAAGAGCUUUUUUGUGCUUUUCGCCUUUGAUAACACUGCUCCUAAGAGCUGCAAAUAAGUCUGCUUAAUCAAGCUUUUCCCUGGUGCAGGUUGGUCCAGUAGUUGCAUCAUGGUAGUUCUUGCAUCAAAGAUCCUCCUAACCAUCCAACAUGCACAUUGUGGCACCUUCACGAUAGCAAAUUGCUGCCCCUUGAUGUAAUAGCUAUGAAUCCAUCCAUAACCUGUCAGUUUUAUGUGCUAAGUCCCAACAGGUUUUCAAUACUGCUGCUCUAUUCCAUAGCCUUAAGUUCAUGAGGUUGAGUCCACCUGCAGAUUUAGGGGAGCAAACCAUUUCCCAUGCAACCAAAGCCUUCUUACUUAUUGUGUUGACUCCUGACCAAACAUAACUACGACAGUAUGCAUCUAUGAUACCCAAUUUCUUGGCAAGGAUCAUGAAGAGUUGAGGUCAAUAGGCUUGGAUGCCAAAUAUGACUGAUUUGACCAGUAUCCUCCCAGCAUAGGACAAUUUUCUAGUAGUCCAUGAGGAGAUUCUUUUUUUUUUUUUUGAGAAGGUAACAUAAUUGUAUAUUAAUAUAAGACUUCACUAAAAUUGUGAAGUCACCCAUAAUUACAAAGAAAGUGCCCUAGCAAAAAUAAAAGACACUUUAAAUCCUUGGUCUUCUUACAAGGAUUCUAGUACAUCUAAAAUGGAUUCAAGAUCCUCCAAAAACUUCCCUUUACGCCAAAAAUGUCCUAUGCUGGGAGAUUCUUUUAACUAUCUUUUGUACAAGAGGCUGCCAUUGUGUUGUGGUCAACUUCUUAAUUGACAAAGGUAUGCCCAUGUAUUUGAAUGGUAGAUUCCCAUAGGUGUAUCCCAGCCGCUGCAAUUUUUAAUCCUUUUCUUCCUGUAUCACUCCUCCACAAUAUAAUGAACUUUUGCCUAGGUUAGCUUGUAAGCCUGAGGCAGAGGAAAAUUGAUGAAAGCACUGUUGAAGGUGAUAUAUAGACCCCACAUCUCCAUGAGCAAAGAGUAAGAGGUCAUCUGCAAAGGACAGAUGUGUAAUCCCCAGCUUAGCACAUUUGGGGUGAAAUCUGAAGGCCUUCUUAUCUUUCAAAUUGUUCAAUUGUCUGCUAAGAUAUUCCAUUGCUAUGGCAAAAAAGGAAAGGGGACACUGGAUCCUCUUGUCUCAGGUCCCUUGCAGCAUCAAAUGGUUCAAUUGGCUCACCAUUGAUCAAGAUAGAGUAGUUGACUGUUCUAAGGCAUUCCAUAAUUCAUUCAAUGAAUUUCCUGAGAAAAGCUAAUUCCUCGAAAAGCUGUUCUAGAUAGCACCAUUCAACUAUGUCAUAAGCUUUUUGUAGAUCAAUCUUGAUCAGACACCUAGGAGACACAUGCUUCCUAGCGUAAGCCUGUACUAGCUCAUGAGCCAAGAUGAUGUUAUCUGCUAUUUUCCUUCCUAGUAUGAAGCCUGCUUGUGCUUCACAGAUAAUGUCAGGUAUCACCUUUUGUAAUUUUGAUGCUAAGAUUUUUUAGAUAAUUUUAUAUAGAACAGUGCAGCAUGCAAUUGGUCUAUAUUAUUU